rnacentral:rRNA from 1 species
AGACUCCUACGGGAGGCAGCAGUGGGGAAUUUUGCGCAAUGGGGGCAAUCCUGACGCAGCGACGCCGCGUGGGUGAUGAAGGCCUUCGGGUUGUAAAGCCCUGUUGGGGGGGAAGAUAAUGACGGUACCCCCUGAGGAAGCCCCGGCUAACUACGUGCCAGCAGCCGCGGUAAGACGUAGGGGGCGAGCGUUGUCCGGAAUUACUGGGCGUAAAGGGCGUGUAGGCGGCCUUUCAAGUCGGCUGUGAAAUACCCCGGCUCAACCGGGGGGGUGCAGUCGAAACUGGGGGGCUUGAGUGCAGGAGAGGGGGGUGGAAUUCCCGGUGGAGCGGUGAUAUGCGUAGAUAUCGGGAGGAACACCGGUGGCGAAGGCGACCUUCUGGCCUGUUACUGACGCUGAGGCGCGAAAGCCGGGGGAGCAAACAGGAUUAGAUACCCUGGUAGUC